GUGAAAAAGGUGAUCGUCACUAACGUUCUCGAACCCACAUUUUCACUUAACGUUAACACCACUAACGUCCUAACUAACGUCCAUGCCUAACUCACACUUUCUCUGCAAGCAAAGCUGAGCCCACUGAAGACUACAAUUGCUUCAACUAAAGAUCCAAAGGCCCAUAUCCAAGACUUAAAGAGCCAACUAAAAUAUUAGAAAAGUAGUAUAUAUAGGAGUAGUUUUGAACUAGUAAAGGAGUUUUUUGGUAUUUUGGAGAACUACACUCUGUAUAUUUUACUUUCUCUGCAACUUCUAGUUUUAGUUUUCAUAAUGUACUUUUCAUCUAUGCUUUCCAUUCCCAGAGCUAUGAACAACUAAACCC
rnacentral:lncRNA from 1 species